UACGAAGGUGGCAAGCGUUGUUCGGAUUUACUGGGCGUACAGGGAGCGUAGGCGGUUGGAUAAGCCCUCCGUGAAAUCUCCAGGCUUAACCUGGAAAGUGCAGAGGGGACUGUUCAGCUAGGGGAUGGGAGAGGAGCGCGGAAUUCCCGGUGUAGCGGUGAAAUGCGUAGAGAUCGGGAGGAAGGCCGGUGGCGAAGGCGGCGCUCUGGAACAUUUCUGACGCUGAGGCUCGAAAGCGUGGGGAGCAAACAGG
rnacentral:rRNA from 1 species